UCCCGCCUCCACCCCAACACCUCACUCUUAAUCGAAUUUCAUCCCAUUCUUGGGAUGGGGGGGUUUCUCUGGGUUCGGGCUCUAUCCUGAGCUCGGAGCCCUUCCUCCGGACAGCAUGCCAAAUAUGCUACUAAUUGCUCUACCAUAUUAUAUGAGACAUAAAGGAGAUCAUUAAAGUAUCAGCAGAUGUUUCCUUGGGAAAGCAGAUGAAUUGAGACAACAGUUGCCAAACAGAAAAGGCUUAUAGAGGCUGUCUUUCACUUGUCAAGCCCACCAACAAACCAGCGCUAAAGGAUCAGAUAUCGACUUAAGAAUGGCGCUAUUAUGAUGGUUUGCGAGGAACACUGGCAGUCAUGGUGGAGGAAUGUGUAAACAGGCAGAGGCAGAGGCAGCUACACGACACACUCACAGGACGUUGCACAACUCGAAAUGCCUCUGAAUGUGUCAUUUCCUGCCUGGCCACCUGGCUUCCGCUUAGAAACAGCAGCAUGCGCAUGAGAAAUAGACUUUGGGAUAGAUAGUGUGGGAUCGAAGGAGAGCAGAUCGACCUGAAACAUCUUCUGCUCAAAAAUCAAAGCUAUUAAAUUACAUGAAAGACCUCAGCAAACCUCAGACGAGGCUAUUGUGUUCUUAUUCUCUGUUAAGUAAAGGUACUUUAUUGGCAUUAAUGAAGAAUCCAUGAAGAAUCUUUAACAUCCAUAGAAUCUUUCCAUUGCACAAAAGGUUUUAAAAUCUUUCCAUUGCACAAAAGGUAUUAAAAAUAGGAUCUUUUAUGAAAUGUUUACCAAAAUUCUUUUGGAAACCCCCCUUUGGAAACUAUUAAAAUGUAUCUUGUUCAUUUGAAUUUUCCUGGUCUCAUUUGAGAUUCAUUGUUGCAUGUUAU